AGUGAACGCUGGCGGUAGGCCUAACACAUGCAAGUCGAACGGCAGCACAGUAAGAGCUUGCUCUUACGGGUGGCGAGUGGCGGACGGGUGAGGAAUACAUCGGAAUCUACUUUUUCGUGGGGGAUAACGUAGGGAAACUUACGCUAAUACCGCAUACGACCUACGGGUGAAAGCAGGGGAUCUUCGGACCUUGCGCGAUUGAAUGAGCCGAUGUCGGAUUAGCUAGUUGGCGGGGUAAAGGCCCACCAAGGCGACGAUCCGUAGCUGGUCUGAGAGGAUGAUCAGCCACACUGGAACUGAGACACGGUCCAGACUCCUACGGGAGGCAGCAGUGGGGAAUAUUGGACAAUGGGCGCAAGCCUGAUCCAGCCAUACCGCGUGGGUGAAGAAGGCCUUCGGGUUGUAAAGCCCUUUUGUCGGGAAAGAAAAUCAGCAGGUUAAUACCCCGCUGUUCUGACGGUACCCAAAGAAUAAGCACCGGCUAACUUCGUG
rnacentral:rRNA from 1 species